rnacentral:rRNA from 1 species
GAUGAACGCUGGCGGCGUGCCUAAUACAUGCAAGUAGAACGCUGAAGGAGGAGCUUGCUCUUUCCGGAUGAGUUGCGAACGGGUGAGUAACGCGUAGGUAACCUGCCUGGUAGCGGGGGAUAACUAUUGGAAACGAUAGCUAAUACCGCAUAACAGUAGAUAUUGCAUGAUAUUUGCUUGAAAGGGGCAAUUGCUCCACUACCAGAUGGACCUGCGUUGUAUUAGCUAGUUGGUGAGGUAACGGCUCACCAAGGCGACGAUACAUAGCCGACCUGAGAGGGUGAUCGGCCACACUGGGACUGGGACACGGCCCAGACUCCUACGGGAGGCAGCAGUAGGGAAACUUCGGCAAGGGACGGAAGUCUGACCGAGCAACGCCGCGUGAGUGAAGAAGGGUUUCGGAUCGUAAAGCUCUGUUGUAAGAGAAGAACGAGUGUGAGAGUGGAAAGUUCACACUGUGACGGUAUCUGACCAGAAAGGGACGGCUAACUACGUG